AGGCCUAACACAUGCAAGUCGAACGAGAUCUUCGGAUCUAGUGGCGGACGGGUUAGUAACGCGUGGGAACGUACCCUUCACUACGGAAUAGUCCCGGGAAACUGGGUUUAAUACCGUAUACGCCCUUCGGGGGAAAGAAUUUCGGUGAGGGAUCGGCCCGCGUUAGAUUAGUUAGUUGGUGGGGUAAUGGCCUACCAAGACUACGAUCUAUAGCUGGUUUGAGAGGAUGAUCAGCAACACUGGGACUGAGACACGGCCCAGACUCCUACGGGAGGCAGCAGUGGGGAAUCUUAGACAAUGGGGGCAACCCUGAUCUAGCGAUGCCGCGUGAGUGAUGAAGGCCUUAGGGUCGUAAAGCUCUUUCGCCUGUGAUGAUAAUAACAGUAGCAGGUGGUGAAGCCCCG
rnacentral:rRNA from 1 species